rnacentral:rRNA from 1 species
UUUAAUUCGAUGAUACGCGAGGAACCUUACCUGGGCUCAAAUGUAUGUUGACGUAUUCUGAAAGGGAUACUUCUUCGGACAAUAUACAAGGUGCUGCAUGGUUGUCGUCAGCUCGUGCCGUGAGGUGUCGGGUUAAGUCCCAUAACGAGCGCAACCCCUAUCAUUAGUUGCCAUCAGGUCAAGCUGGGGACUCUAAUGAAACUGCCUACGCAAGUAGUGAGGAAGGUGGGGAUGACGUCAAAUCAGCACGGCCCUUACGUCCAGGGCUACACACGUGCUACAAUGGCCGGUACAAAGGGCAGCUACCUGGUGACAGGAUGCUAAUCUCAAAAGCCGGUCUCAGUUCGGAUCGGAGUCUGCAACCCGACUCCGUGAAGCUGGAAUCGCUAGUAGUCGCAGAUCAGCCAAGCUGCGGUGAAUACGUUCCCGGGCCUU